CAUUUCAUCUCCAGUGAAGUGUAACAUCGCUGCAGGCUUAUUUUAUUGAAGAGUAUUCCUAAAAUAUUUGAAAUGAUCCAGUAGGCAGUGAAUUAUUCAGCAGAUCAUGGUGCUAUAAGGAUACAGCUAGCAAGGCCUAAGUUCUCGCUCACAAACCCCAGCAGGUUAUUGUAGUUGUGAGCGAGUAGCUGUGGGGAUAUAAGCAGAGACAGGCGUGAGUUUCAAGUCAUUUGUUAAUGUGUCUAAUUUGCCAUCAUGGUUUUCAUGCUAAUGUAGUUUGUCGUUUGCAUGAAUGCAGUUUUUACAACUUUACACGCAACAUUGUUUGCUGGUUAUUGGUCAGAUUUAGCCCAGCGUUCAUGGCUGGAUCUACCAGUAGCAGUGGAAUCACCUUUUUUCUGUGCUUUCCUGGCCGUUUGGCUGAAGUUGAGAUUUAGCUCAUGACCCCUGGCACCUGUAGAAGCUAGAUUUCCUCUGUUGAGUGUCGGUUCUGAGACACGCCAGUGUGUUGCUGAAGGUGAAAUCCCAAGGUACCAAGAAGUGCAUCCGAUUACACUCUGGCUUCACCUGUUUGGACUUCAUCAGUGAAGUCAAAGACAAGUUUGGGACUCCCAGCUGCAUCUGAACUGCACAUUUGUGAUGAAAGUGACACGGCAGUGGAGGAAGACAUCCUUCUUGAACUGAUGGAGGCCAAUCCUGACUUAUGCCUGACAGUACGUGACGGUGAGUCUGAUGAAGAUCAAUCAGCAUCAUCUUCCCUCACGGAUAUCCUGUCACCUUCAAGUGACAAUGAGCUCUUUAGUCGACGCUCCAGAGACAGACCUGUUCAUCACUUCAGAGACGGGAACCCACCUACCACAGUGUUUUCUGAGGCUGAGGCUGCAAAAGAGAUGGUAGAAAAUGCCUUGGUUAUGAAACCUGGAGGUCAAGAUGUCAGAGAAAUCGCUGAGUCAUCGGACCCGGAGACAGCUGGUCAACACAUUGGCCAGCCAUAUGACUGAGAUGCGCGGGGAAGUGCGUCUUAAACUGUUUAAACCAUUUUUAGACUGAAGUGUUUUAUAUGGAGUGAAUGUAAUGAUUUUAUUUAAAUGAAGGGCAUUGAGUUGGUGCCCUGUAGUCUGUAGUAGGACAUGUUUAUUAUUAUUUUUUAAAUAUUGCUUUUGCUUUAAAGGAGGACUCCAUCCCGUAAACAGAAGGAGAAGUAUGCCCUGGGGAUCAUUCCACUCUUUCCUCCACUGAAGGAUCCUUUUUCUCCAAAGGGCUGUGGAAGUUUAAGAAAGUACUUACUUUCAGAAAUGAUACUAGUUUUACGUAGAGACAGAACUCGAAGUGUCAGAAGGGGUAAAAUGCUUUAAACACUUGAGCUCAAUUUUAGAUCUUGUUUACCUGCCACUUUAGGUAGUGAGCUCUACAAACUACUACCCACUAAUUUCCAUUAUUUCUUGGGCCAAUUUAAAUUGUUGUUCAGGUGGUCAAGUAUUGAUCUCUUGG